rnacentral:rRNA from 1 species
CCACGCCGUAAACGAUGAGUGCUAGGUGUUGGGGGUCAAACCUCGGUGCCGCAGUUAACACAUUAAGCACUCCGCCUGGGGAGUACGUGCGCAAGCAUGAAACUCAAAGGAAUUGACGGGGACCCGCACAAGCAGCGGAGCAUGUGGUUUAAUUCGAUGCAACGCGAAGAACCUUACCAGGGCUUGACAUAUGGGUGAAACACAUAGAGAUAUGUGCCUCUCUUCGGAGACGCCCAUACAGGUGGUGCAUGGUUGU